rnacentral:sRNA from 12 species
ACAAUGGGUAUGGUUUAAUCGCUAGAUUUCGAUUCUAGCAGCUGCGAAAGUGGCGGGAUUAUAUAGACGUAUUAGUAAUAAUACGAUACGUAGGGCAUGGAUUAAGACGCGUAAUAAUAUAUACGAUAGUAGAAUAUCGGCUAUAAAUA